rnacentral:rRNA from 1 species
GCUAGUGAUCCAACACAUUAUUUUAUAAAUUGGCAAAGAAUCUCGGAAGCUAAGCAGGGUCGGGCCUGGUUAGUACUUGGAUGGGAGACCACGUAGGAGACCAGGUGCUGUAGGCG